UAGAGGAAGAAAAGGUCAGCAUCAUAACCAUAUCACGCAUCAAAGAUCCAAGAAAGGAGUUUUGCCAGUAUAAAGUUGGGGAUUUGGUGAAAGCCAGCUGCCAUGGCUUUUCUGGCGUGCAUCCCGCCAAGAUCUUAGAUGAUGGAGCUGAUGCCUGGUAGUGGGAUCUACAUUUAUCCCAAAGAUAUACAAGCUUUAUAUAAGCCAAAAAAAAAAAAACAAGUGGAACUUUUCAGGAAGGGGAACCUAACUGGUGCAAAUGAAAAGACCAUUUUAAACACUAUUCCUGACGAUGCCGGGAUUCAGAGGCCAUUGUCAAGUUUUCGAUGAGGACCAAGAUUAGUUCCCAAGUCAGCCUCCAGAACAUGAAACAGACCUAGC